rnacentral:lncRNA from 1 species
UUGUAUAAUAUUAGUUUGUAAUAUCACAGAAAUAUACAUAUCAAUUCGUUUUCGUAUACCGAUUCUAAUAGCAUGCCGCAACUAUAAUAAUUAUGUUUUAAUUCUUAAUAGUGUGUUGGCCACGUUUUUAUGCAGUUAUAUCGCGUCAAGGAUAUGCUUUUGGUGUUUUUUCUGCGACAUGUUAGAUUUAAUAGUUUUCAAUUAAAGAGGAGGAAUUCUGGCGGACUAAUUGUUAAAUCUGAAAUAACAAGACAUGCGUAUCUUGAAAAUAAACAUUUGGACAGUUGCGAUGUUGAUGUCCAUGAUAAAUCAGGGUUUUCCGGGUGGAACGGAGCAAGAUAGAAAAAUUGAUAUAUCAGACACUUGUCCGAAUUCACAGUAUGUUGAUAAUCCUUUGUACUUAUUUGAAGGUAAAUACGGAACAUCAGGAUGCCGACAUUACUGAACAAAGAAACAAUAUACAAAGAGAUGUAUUAAUUCAUCAGGGAUAUACUCAGGUGCACUCAACACAAUCUUGUAAGCCACCAACACAGUACCUCAAAUCAAAGAAGAAGUUAAAAGGUUCAAAGAAUCACCGAAAGAGGUUGAAGAAGAAAAAGAAAUACAGCAAGAGGAAGAAGAAACGAAACAAAAAAUAAAAGACUAGGCUAACAAACUGAAUCAAGCUGAGUGUUUUCCUUAAGCUUUUGGUGAAAUAUUUUAUCAUUUGAAAGCUACAGUAAGGGUGAAAUUUUUAGCAUUCUAGUUUUCACCCAAUUCUGCAUUGAAUGUAUAUAUGACACUGACAAAAGGAAAAAGGAGUGAAAAUAAGUGUUAGAUAUCUUUAGAAAGGUAAGAAGAAUGUUGCUUUUCUCCAUAAUUUCAAAAGCCUUGCAAUGGUCUACACUCUCAUGUACGCUAUGUUUGGUUGUUUAUUAGGGUGCACUGCAAAAAGCAUGCGGUUGUUUAUAUAUCCUUAUAUUGCCGCGGGAUGUCAAGUGACGUUUGUUCGCAAUCGCUAGUCUAAAUAUGCUGCAGUAUGUGGAGUGAUAUUGGUCUGUGACAGCUGGCCUAAUUUGCUGAUAUUUUUUCGUAACUGGCAAACUUCAAAUUCAUGUGAUAUGUGGAGUGACAUUUGUUUGUGAUCGCUAUUAUAAUAUUGCUGCAAAAUAUGGAGUGAUAGUUGUUUGCAAUCACUUUCCUGUCAUUGUUGCAGGAUGUCAAGUGAAGUUUGGUUUGUUUUGUGAUCGCUAUCAUAAUUUUGCAGUAUGAUGUGGGGAAAUAUUUGUUCGUUACCGCCAUCCUAAUACUGCUGCAGGAUAUCAAGUGGAGAAUGUUUUGUGAUCGCAAUUUUAAUUUUGCAUUAAGAUGUGGAGUGAUUUCCAUUAGUUGUAAUAUCUUAAUAUUGCUGCGGGAUGUGGAUUUUCUUUUGUGAUCGCUAUUGCUGUGGAUUUUGGGGCUUUGAGCGGCGAGGAAUACAUCAGUUUUUUUAUCAAAAUAUAUGCAUUAAUACCAGAUUACAGAUCUGGAAGUGUUAUAAAAAGUCACUAUGUCUGAUGUAUUUAGAUUCAACUUAUACAUUUUGUAUAUAUUUUGUUUGUAUACAUAUAUAUUUUAUUUACAAAAGCUAUAUGUGUCUGUGUUGAUUUAAAGUGCUGUGACA